rnacentral:lncRNA from 1 species
AAACUUGGGAAAAAAUAAAUAAAGAAAACCCUACAAACUUUUGAGUCUGAAUUAAUUUAAUGAAUCUCCAUAACUCUCCUUUGCAGGCAUGGUCUCAGUUACCAGCAUGCUAGGAGAUGACCUGGACCAACAUCCAGGCAGGAAAGACGCAAGCUGAGCACUCAGCAGUUUAGAAUUGAGCUGAGUUUUCAGUUAAUUUUAUUCAGCAGUAGGAAGCCUUGUCAGAAAAGUAGCAAGAUACGUAACAUAACAUGGGUCUUCAGAGGGAAGCAAGCAAAGAGGCAUUGUUCACAAGGUCCCAACAAAUCAUGCUGCCAGAAAAGCAAGACUAAGCAACU